rnacentral:rRNA from 1 species
UUGGGAAUAUUGCACAAUGGGCGAAAGCCUGAUGCAGCGACGCCGCGUGAGGGAUGACGGCCUUCGGGUUGUAAACCUCUUUCAGCAGGGACGAAGCGCCAGUGACGGUACCUGCAGAAGAAGCACCGGCUAACUACGUGCCAGCAGCCGCGGUAAUACGUAGGGUGCAAGCGUUGUCCGGAAUUACUGGGCGUAAAGAGUUCGUAGGCGGUUUGUCGCGUCGUUUGUGAAAACCAGCAGCUCAACUGCUGGCUUGCAGGCGAUACGGGCAGACUUGAGUACUGCAGGGGAGACUGGAAUUCCUGGUGUAGCGGAGAAAUGCGCAGAUAUCAGGAGGAACACCGGUGGCGAAGGAGGGUCUCUGGGCAGUAACUGACGCUGAGGAACGAAAGAGUGGGUAGCGAACAGG